GAUGAAGAACGUAGCGAAAUGCGAUAAGUAAUGUGAAUUGCAGAAUUCAGUGAAUCAUCGAAUCUUUGAACGCACAUUGCGCCCGCCAGUAUUCUGGCGGGCAUGCCUGUCUGAGCGUCAUUUCAACCCUCAUGCCCCUAGGGCGUGGUGUUGGGGAUCGGCCAAAGCCCGCGAGGGACGGCCGGCCCCUAAAUCUAGUGGCGGACCCGCCGUGGCCUCCUCUGCGAAGUAGUGAUAUUCCGCAUCGGAGAGCGAUGAGCCCCUGCCGUUAAACCCCCAACUUUCCAAGGUUGACCUCAGAUCAGGUAGGAAUACCCGCUGAACUUAAGCAUAUCAAUAAGCGGAGGA
rnacentral:misc_RNA from 1 species